rnacentral:tRNA from 3 species
GGCCCCGUGGUCAAGCGGUUAAGACACCGCCCUUUCACGGCGGUUACCCGGGUUCGAAUCCCGGCGGGGUCACCA